UUCGUUGUUGUCAAUGAUGUAUUCUUGUUGGAACUGAAUCUUAAGUGAUCUGACUCAAUAUUCGUCACUACCACUGAGACAACAAUGAA
rnacentral:snoRNA from 1 species